AUUGAACGCUGGCGGCAGGCCUAACACAUGCAAGUCGAACGAGUGGCGGACGGGUGAGUAAUGUAUGGGAAAAUGCCUGAUGGAGGGGGAUAACUAAUGGAAACGGUAGCUAAUACCGCAUACCAUCAGAUGUGCCCAGAUGGGAUUAGCUAGUAGGUGGGGUAACGGCUGACCUAGGCGACGAUCCCUAGCUGGUCGCAGAGGAUGAACAUCUACACUGGAACUGAGACACGGUCCAUACUCCUACGGGAGGCAGCAGUGGGGAGUAGUGCACAAUGGGCGCAAGCCUGAUGCAGCCAUGCCGGGUGUAUGAAGAAGGCCUUCGUGUUGUAAAGUACUUUCAGCGGGGAUGCGUUACCCGCAGAAUAAGCACCGGCUAACUCCGUGCCAGCAGCCGCGGUAAUAC
rnacentral:rRNA from 1 species